GUAUCUUCAGCGAGUGCUCAAAUCCGGCUCAAAUAUACAAGAAAGUGACUUCAGGGAAGUUGCCAGAGGCAUUUUAUAGAAUCCAAGACGAGGAAGCCCGGAGGUUUAUCGGAAAGUGCCUGGAGAAUGUUUCCAAGAGGUUGCCUGCACAUGAACUCUUGCUUCAUCCAUUUUUGGCCACUAAUGAAGAGACUCUGCAGUCCAUCCCAAGAGUCGAUCCAGGAACUAACUCGUAAAGGCCGAGUCACAGAGCUAGAUCCUUCUCUGCGGAUUGAUCCAACAAGGAGUACUGAUAUGUCGAUAACUGGCACAAUGGGUCCCGAAGACACAAUUUUUCUCAAAGUACAGAUUACAGACAAGGAAGGUCAGGCUCGGAACAUCUAUUUUCCCUUCGACAUAUUGAAUGACACGGCGAUUGAUGUUGCCUUGGAGAUGGUGAAAGAGUUGGAUAUUGAUGACUGGGAGCCGUUGAAAAUUGCUGAUAUGAUAGAAGAGGAAAUCUCUUCACUUGUCCCUACAUGGAAGGAUCGGGGCAUCUCUCAACUUCCAGCACAGCUUUAAGUACGAUGAAGACGAUCACCAAAACGGAAUCCGCCAUCCUUUCUAUGCUACCUUCUCCCAUUCUUCCUCUGAAGCAGAAUAUUGUCUAGAGAAAAGUAUCUCUUCUAAUAAUUGCAAUUGGCCCCAAGAUAUUUUCAGCAAUGAUGAUGCAAGUUCCAGUUGCUCUAUGAACUCAUUCCGUCACGCUAGCAUGAAUUAUGAAGGCGAAUUUGAUUCGAGUCUGCAUCAAUGGGAGCAACCCUGCAUUCCAAAGACCCUCAAAUCUACACGAUUUUGUCCGUCAGAUAGCAUGAGUGCUUACUGCUACAAACAGUGCUACACACAACUUGAUUCAUGGAGGUCUUCUCACGUCAACGGCCAUAGGAAGCUAACAAAGAUUCGUUCACUUGUGGACAUACGCAGAAAAUUGCUGCACCAGUCAGUAAUGGCGGAGAUAAACAAGAGACGCCUAUUCAAGACCAUUGGAGCAGUGGAGAACAUCGGAUAUCAGGAGCCGGGGGAGGUUUCAGGCAAGGCAUAUCUUGAAAACGGCAUAAAGGGAAGGAUUUUUUAGAUAAUGAAGAAGAUUUCGUGGGAGAUUUAGGUGGUUAAUAACUUGAUUUCUCUGUUAAUAUGCUAGUUGAUUUCAAUAGUGAUGCUGUACAAAUUCUGAAUCCUCAAUCUGGUUUAGUGUAAUAACUAAUGCCAGGUUGCAGACAUGGUCAAGACCAUGAACGACUAUUCCCUAAAACUUCACUAUAUUUUUGGAGAAGAAAUGUA